CGGGGCGUAGCGCAGCCUGGUAGCGCACUUGCAUGGGGUGCAAGGGGUCGAGUGUUCGAAUCACUCGUCCCGACCA
rnacentral:tRNA from 1 species